AACGAACGCUGGCGGCAUGCCUAACACAUGCCAGUCGAACGAGACCUUCGGGUCUAGUGGCGCACGGGUGCGUAACGCGUGGGAACCUGCCCUUAGGUUCGGAAUAACUCCCCGAAAGGGGUGCUAAUACCGGAUAAUGUCUUCGGACCAAAGAUUUAUCGCCUUUGGAUGGGCCCGCGUUGGAUUAGCUAGUUGGUAGGGUAAAAGCCUACCAAGGCGACGAUCCAUAGCUGGUCUGAGAGGAUGAUCAGCCACACUGGGACUGAGACACGGCCCAGACUCCUACGGGAGGCAGCAGUGGGGAAUAGUGGACAAUGGGCGAAAGCCUGAUCCAGCAAUGCCGCGUGAGUGAUGAAGGCAUUAGGGUUGUAAAGCUCUUUUAACCGGGAUGAUAAUGACAGUACCGGGAGAAUAAGCUCCGGCUAACUCCGUG
rnacentral:rRNA from 1 species